UCUGUAGGGUGAACCUGCGGAGGGAUCAUUACAGAGUUGCAAAACUCCCAAACCAUUGUGAACGUUACCUUCAAACCGUUGCUUCGGCGGGCGGCCCGGGUCCGCCCGGUGCCCCCUGGCCCCCUAGCGGGGCGCCCGCCGGAGGAAACCCAACUCUUGAUUAUUAUGGCCUCUCUGAGUCUUCUGUACUGAAUAAGUCAAAACUUUCAACAACGGAUCUCUUGGUUCUGGCAUCGAUGAAGAACGCAGCGAAAUGCGAUAAGUAAUGUGAAUUGCAGAAUUCAGUGAAUCAUCGAAUCUUUGAACGCACAUUGCGCCCGCCAGUAUUCUGGCGGGCAUGCCUGUUCGAGCGUCAUUUCAACCAUCAAGCCCCAGGCUUGUGUUGGGGACCUGCGGCUGCCGCAGGCCCUGAAAACCAGUGGCGGGCUCGCUGUCACACCGGGCGUAGUAGAUUUUAUCUCGCUCAGGGCGUGCUGCGGGUUCCGGCCGUUAAAAAGCCUUUUUUACCCAAGGUUGACCUCGGAUCAGGUAGGAAGACCCGCUGAACUUAAGCAUAUCAAUAAGGCGGAGGA
rnacentral:rRNA from 1 species